UACAGAGGUCCCAAGCGUUGUUCAGAUUCACUGGGCGUAAAGGGUGCGUAGGCGGUCGGGUAAGUCUGAUGUGAAAUCUCACAGCUUAACCGUGGAACUGCUUGGUAUACUGGGUGUCUUGAGCCACUCAGGGGCGAGCGGAACAAAUGGUGGAGCGGUGAAAUGCGUAGAUAUCAUUUGGAACGCCAAUGGUGAAAACAGCUCGCUGGGGGUGUGCUGACGCUGAGACACGAAAGCCAGGGGAGCGAACGGG
rnacentral:rRNA from 1 species